AACGAACGCUGGCGGCGGGCCUAACACAUGCAAGUCGAACGCUGUAGCAAUACAGAGUGGCAGACGGGUGAGUAACGCGUGGGAACCUACCCCAUGGUACGGAAUAGCCCAGGGAAACUUGGGGUAAGACCGUAUACGCCCCUAGGGGGAAAGAUUUAUCGCCAUUGGAUGGGCCCGCGUCGGAUUAGCCAGUUGGUGAGGUAAUGGCUCACCAAGGCAACGAUCCGUAGCUGGUUUGAGAGAAUGACCAGCCACACUGGGACUGAGACACGGCCCAGACUCCUACGGGAGGCAGCAGUGGGGAAUCUUGGACAAUGGGCGCAAGCCUGAUCCAGCCAUGCCGCGUGAGUGACGAAGGCCUUAGGGUUGUAAAGCUCUUUUGCCGGGGACGAUAAUGGCGGUACCCGGAGAAUAAGUCCCGGCUAACUUCGUGCCAGCCGCCGCCGUAA
rnacentral:rRNA from 1 species